rnacentral:rRNA from 1 species
GCUGGCAACCCGGCGCCAAGACGUGCGCGCAAGGGCGGGCGCCCGCGGGCGAGCAGCGUGACGCAGCGACGGCCCGCCCGGGCUUCCGGGGCAUCACCCGGUCGGCGCGGUCGCGGCGCGCCGAGGGCCCGACGCCUGGCGGAGAAUCAGGGUUCGACUCCGGAGAGCGGGCCUGAGAGACGGCCCGCACAUCCAAGGACGGCAGCACGCGCGGAACUUGCCCAAUGCGCGCGCGCGAGGCAGCGACGGGGAGUGCGCGAGCGAGGCGGGCCCACAGCCCCCGCCGCGGAGCCGAGGGCAAGGUCUGGUGCCAGCAGCCGCGGUAAUUCCAGCUCGGCGGGCGUCGCGUGGCGCUGCUGCAGUUAAAACGCCCGUAGUUGGCCCCCCGCCGCCACGAGGAAACGGGAGCGCUCCAGGCAGGCCCGUUGGACCCGCCGCGUGGGACCGCGCAGCGGGCGCGGCGCGCCGCGGCAGCCCCGAGGAGAG